rnacentral:rRNA from 1 species
GCUACGGGAGGCAGCAGUGAGGAAUAUUGGUCAAUGGACGAGAGUCUGAACCAGCCAAGUAGCGUGAAGGAUGACUGCCCUAUGGGUUGUAAACUUCUUUUAUAAAGGAAUAAAACGAGGCACGUGUGCCUUUUUGCAUGUACUUUAUGAAUAAGGAUCGGCUAACUCCGUGCCAGCAGCCGCGGUAAUCCGGAGGUUCCGAGCGUUAUCCGGAUUUAUUGGGUUUAAAGGGAGCGUAGAUGGGUUGUUAAGUCAGUUGUGAAAGUUUGCGGAUCAACCGUAAAAUUGCAAUUGAUACUGGCAGUCUUGAGUACAGUUGAGGUAGGCGGAAUUCGUGGUGUAGCGGUGAAAUGCUUAGAUAUCACGAAGAACUCCGAUUGCGAAGGCAGCUUACUAAACUGCCACUGACAUUGAUGCUCGAAAGUGUGGGUAUCAAACAGGAUUAGAUACCCUGGUAGUC